GUAUAUGGCCAUACCACCAUAAACAUGCCCCAUCUCCUCUGAUCUGGAAAGCUAAGCAGAUCAGAUCUAGCUAGUAGUUGGACUGGGAAGAGAGACAGACAGGCAGACC
rnacentral:rRNA from 1 species